rfam:Megasphaera elsdenii strain DSM 20460 draft genome
UCCAUCGUGAGAUGGAAUCUGAAGGAAGGUCGAGGCAAAUCUCUGGUCUGACGAACAGAAAUCACAUAAGGCUAGUCAUGGGGAUAAGGCCGCCUAACAGGUUGAAGUCCCAUAGCUACACGGAACCAUGAAUAGUAGAUGUGGCAGACACAUGGAGAGAAAGAGUGCGUUC